UUGAGUUUCCCCUUCACUUGCGGAGGAAACCCUAGCUGUGGCCCCAAAACCUUCAAUCAUCCUUCCCUCGGCGUCGCGAACCACUCCGGCGACAGAGCAGAGGAGAUCACCGGGUUGCCACGAUGCAUCGACGUUCAUCUUCAGAUUUUGCCCUUCCGGAGGCCUCCACGGACCAGCAGAUCUGCUGGUCGGGGUUCCUGCGCACGAAAGAUCCGGUUGUUUCGCGCCUUCCAGAUGUUCCACAGAACCAGACUGACCAGCUCUCGCUCGGGUUUUCCUUCGUCGGGAGGGCGUUCGGCAAAUACUCCGGAGGAAGGAGCGAAUUUUUUGGGGGCACAUCGAGACUCCACAUUUGUGUCCAUAAGGAUGCUUUGCCAUCCCCAUGAUGGGCGACUACCCUUGGAAGCAUGCCAGAUAUCUCCGUCGGGAAAAUAAAGCCCUUUCAAUACUCUGCUCCAUAGGGCUUGAGGGGAGGUAGCUAAUCGCCAGGCCUGUUUGCCUAGCAUGGCUCGAUUAAAGCAUCACCAUUCUGCCACCAGAAAGACGCAAUACGUUGUUCUAUGGCUCGACAGAUCGAUAAUGGCAGCUUGAAGGUGGACAUGGCAUAGCCAUGAUCCACGAAAACAUCUCUUUCUUGGAUUGGCC